CAGUAGCCGCGGGAAUAUGUAGGGUGCAAGCGUUAAUCGUAAUUACUGGGCGUAAAGCGUGCGCAGGCGGUUAUAUAAGACAGAUGUGAAAUCCCCGGGCUCAACCUGGGAACUGCAUUUGUGACUGUAUAGCUAGAGUACGGCAGAGGGGGAUGGAAUUCCGCGUGUAGCAGUGAAAUGCGUAGAUAUGCGGAGGAACACCGAUGGCGAAGGCAAUCCCCUGGGCCUGUACUGACGCUCAUGCACGAAAGCGUGGGGAGCAAACAGGAUUAGAUACCCCUGUAGUCCCUGUCUCUUAUAC
rnacentral:rRNA from 1 species